UUACGUCCAUAUCAGUUUGAAACACCGAUUCUUGUAUGAUCACCUAAGUUAAGCAACGUCGAGUCUGGUCAGUACCUAGGAAGGUGACCGCUUGGGAAUACA